rnacentral:ncRNA from 2 species
AAGAAUAUGGACGUGUUAUUCAUCAUGAAUAUUGUAACAUAUUCAUCAUGAAUGUGUUAUUUAUGAUGAAUAACACAUCCCAUAUUCAUU